UAGAUGGAGGCUCACUGGUUUGAGUGUUUAGCUGUUAACUAAGAGUUUGUAGGAUCGAAGCCUUCUCAUCUAG
rnacentral:tRNA from 2 species